rnacentral:rRNA from 1 species
GUCCACGCCGUAAACGAUGAGUACUGGGUGUCGCGGGUAGUUGACCCCUGCGGUGCCGUAGCUAACGCGUUAAGUACUCCGCCUGGGGAUUACGGUCGCAAGAUUAAAACUCAAAGGAAUUGACGGGGGCCCGCACAAGCGGUGGAGCAUGUGGUUUAAUUCGACGCAACGCGAAGAACCUUACCUGGGCUAGACAACGGUGGACCUCCCCAGAGAUGGGGCUUUCCCUUCGGUGACUGCCGGUUCAGGUGCUGCAUGGCUGUCGU